rnacentral:rRNA from 1 species
UGGCGGCGAGUGGCGAACGGGUGAGUAAUGUAUCGGAACGUACCUAAUAGUGGGGGAUAACUAGUUGAAAGACUAGCUAAUACCGCAUAUCAUCUACGGAUGAAAGCAGGGGAUCGUAAGACCUUGCGCUAAUAGAGCGGCCGAUAUCUGAUUAGCUAGUUGGUAGGGUAAAGGCCUACCAAGGCUAUGAUCAGUAGCUGGUCUGAGAGGAUGGUCAGCCACACUGGGACUGAGACACGGCCCAGACUCC